rnacentral:rRNA from 1 species
GUAGGGAAUAUUGGGCAAUGGAGGCAACUCUGACCCAGCCAUGCCGCGUGCAGGAUGAAGGCGCUCAGCGUUGUAAACUGCUUUUAUCGAUGAAGAACUGUAGAUCUGCGGAUUUAUUUGACGGUAAUCGAGGAAUAAGCACCGGCUAACUCCGUGCCAGCAGCCGCGGUAAUACGGAGGGUGCGAGCGUUGUCCGGAUUUAUUGGGUUUAAAGGGUGCGUAGGUGGGAUCGUAAGUCUGAUUUGAAAGCAGGCGGCUUAACCGUCUGAUGUGGUUGGAAACUGCGGUUCUUGAAUGGGUUGGCGGUAGCCGGAAUGGGUCAUGUAGCGGUGAAAUGCAUAGAUAUGACCCGGAACACCGAUUGCGAAGGCAGGCUACUACGACUUGAUUGACACUGAGGCACGAGAGCAUGGGUAGCGAACAGG